rnacentral:rRNA from 1 species
UUUAAUUAAGAGUUUGAUCCUGGCUCAGGACGAACGCUGGCGGCACGCUUAACACAUGCAAGUCGAACGAGAGAAGAGGAGCUUGCUUUUCUGAUCUAGUGGCGGACGGGUGAGUAACACGUGAGCAAUCUGCCUUUCAGAGGGGGAUACCGAUUGGAAACGAUCGUUAAUACCGCAUAAUAUAAUUGAACCGCAUGAUUUGAUUAUCAAAGAUUUAUCGCUGAAAGAUGAGCUCGCGUCUGAUUAGCUAGUUGGUAAGGUAACGGCUUACCAAGGCGACGAUCAGUAGCCGGACUGAGAGGUUGAUCGGCCACAUUGGGACUGAGACACGGCCCAGACUCCUACGGGAGGCAGCAGUGGGGAAUAUUGCACAAUGGAGGAAACUCUGAUGCAGCGAUGCCGCGUGAGGGAAGAAGGUUUUAGGAUUGUAAACCUCUGUCUUCAGGGACGAAAAAAGACGGUACCUGAGGAGGAAGCUCCGGCUAACUACGUGCCAGCAGCCGCGGUAAUACGUAGGGAGCGAGCGUUGUCCGGAAUUACUGGGUGUAAAGGGAGCGUAGGCGGGAUCGCAAGUCAGAUGUGAAAACUAUGGGCUUAACCCAUAAACUGCAUUUGAAACUGUGGUUCUUGAGUGAAGUAGAGGUAAGCGGAAUUCCUAGUGUAGCGGUGAAAUGCGUAGAUAUUAGGAGGAACAUCAGUGGCGAAGGCGGCUUACUGGGCUUUAACUGACGCUGAGGCUCGAAAGCGUGGGGAGCAAACAGGAUUAGAUACCCUGGUAGUCCACGCCGUAAACGAUGAUUACUAGGUGUGGGGGGACUGACCCCUUCCGUGCCGCAGCAAACGCAAUAAGUAAUCCACCUGGGGAGUACGACCGCAAGGUUGAAACUCAAAGGAAUUGACGGGGGCCCGCACAAGCAGUGGAGUAUGUGGAUUAAUUCGAAGCAACGCGAAGAACCUUACCAGGUCUUGACAUCGUAUGCAUAGCUCAGAGAUGAGUGAAAUCUCUUCGGAGACAUAUAGACAGGUGGUGCAUGGUUGUCGUCAGCUCGUGUCGUGAGAUGUUGGGUUAAGUCCCGCAACGAGCGCAACCCUUACUGUUAGUUGCUACGCAAGAGCACUCUAGCAGGACUGCCGUUGACAAAACGGAGGAAGGUGGGGAUGACGUCAAAUCAUCAUGCCCCUUAUGACCUGGGCCUCACACGUACUACAAUGGCUGUCAACAGAGGGAUGCAAAGCCGCGAGGUGGAGCGAACCCCUAAAAGCAGUCUUAGUUCGGAUUGUAGGCUGCAACCCGCCUACAUGAAGUCGGAAUUGCUAGUAAUCGCAGAUCAGCAUGCUGCGGUGAAUACGUUCCCGGGCCUUGUACACACCGCCCGUCACGCCAUGGGAGUCGGUAACACCCGAAGCCUGUAGUCUAACCGCAAGGAGGACGCAGUCGAAGGUGGGAUUGAUGACUGGGGUGAAGUCGUAACAAGGUAGCCGUAUCGGAAGGUGCGGCUGGAUCACCUCCUUUCUA